rnacentral:rRNA from 1 species
GCUUACAGCCCAACCACCCCAAGCAAGCCUGAUCUCAUUUGUUCUCGGCAGCUAAACAGGGUCAGGCCUGGUUAGUAUUGGAUAGGAGACCACCUGGGAAUAUCAGGUGCCAAUGGGCC